rnacentral:rRNA from 1 species
UACGGAGGGUGCGAGCGUUGUCCGGAAUCACUGGGCGUAAAGGGCGCGUAGGCGGCCUGAUAAGUAGGGGGUGAAAUCCUGCGGCUUAACCGCAGGGCUGCCUUCUAAACUGUCGAGCUUGAGCACGGUAGAGGCAGAUGGAAUUCCCGGUGUAGCGGUGGAAUGCGUAGAGAUCGGGAAGAACAUCAGUGGCGAAGGCGGUCUGCUGGGCCGUUGCUGACGCUGAGGCGCGACAGCGUGGGGAGCAAACAGG